AGUGAACGCUGGCGGCGUGCCUAAUACCUGCAAGUCGAAGGAAGUGUCGCAUGGGUGAGUAAUAUAUAGCCAAUUUGCCCCUUGCUGGAGGACAACAGUUAGAAAUGCCUGCUAUUACUCCAUAGCAAGGGAUGUGACCAUAUCGUGUCAGCUAGUCGGUGGGGUAACCGCCUACCGAGGCUAUGACGCGUACCUGGUCUGGGAGGAGGAUCAGGCACAUUGGAAAAGCGACACGGUCUAAACUCCUGCGAGAGGCAGCAGUAGGGAAUAGUGCGCAAUGGAGGAAACCCUGACGCAGCAACGCCGCAUGGAGGAUGACACUUUUCGAAGCGGAAAAUCCAUUUGUUAGGGAAGCGGUACCUGACGAAUAAGCACCGGCUAACUCCGUGCCAGCAGCCGCGGUAAUUC
rnacentral:rRNA from 1 species